GGUGAAAAGAGGUGAAAAAAGGUGAAAAAAGGAACCCAAAGCAAAGGAACCAAAGGGGAAAGGAAGGAACGAAGGGUGCAAGGAAGGAAGCAGGGGUGCAAGGAAGGAACGAAGGGUGCAAGGAAGGAAGCAAGGGUGCAAGGAAGGAACCAGGGGUGCAAGGAAGGAACCAAGGGUGCAAGGAAGGAAGCAGGGGUGCAAGGAAGGAACCAAAGGUGCAAGGAAGGAAGCAGGGGUGCAAGGAAGGAAGCAAGGGUGCAAGGAAGGAAGCAGGGGUGCAAGGAAGGAAGCAGGGGUGCAAGGAAGGAAGCAAGGGUGCAAGGAAGGAACCAAGGGUGCAAGGAAGGAACCAGGGGUGCAAGGAAGGAACCAAGGGUGCAAGGAAGGAACGAAGGGUGCAAGGAAGGAAGCAAGGGUGCAAGGAAGGAACCAGGGGUGCAAGGAAGGAACCAAGGGUGCAAGGAAGGAACCAAGGGUGCAAGGAAGGAACCAGGGGUGCAAGGAAGGAAGCAAGGGUGCAAGGAAGGAAGCAGGGGUGCAAGGAAGGAAGCAGGGGUGCAAGGAAGGAACCAAGGGUGCAAGGAAGGAAGCAAGGGUGCAAGGAAGGAACCAAAGGUGCAAGGAAGGAACCAAGGGUGCAAGGAAGGAACCAGGGGUGCAAGGAAGGAACCAAAGGUGCAAGGAAGGAACGAAGGGUGCAAGGAAGGAAGCAGGGGUGCAAGGAAGGAAGCAGGGGUGCAAGGAAGGAACCAAGGGUGCAAGGAAGGAAGCAAGGGUGCAAGGAAGGAACCAAGGGUGCAAGGAAGGAAGGGUGCAAGGAAGGAAGCAGGGGUGCAAGGAAGGAAGCAGGGGUGCAAGGAAGGAACGAAGGGUGCAAGGAAGGAAGCAGGGGUGCAAGGAAGGAAGCAGGGGUGCAAGGAAGGAAGCAGGGGUGCAAGGAAGGAAGCAAGGGUGCAAGGAAGGAAGCAGGGGUGCAAGGAAGGAACCAAGGGUGCAAGGAAGGAACGAAGGGUGCAAGGAAGGAAGCAAAAGGGUGCAAGGAAGGAAGCAGGGGUGCAAGGAAGGAACCAAGGGUGCAAGGAAGGAAGCAGGGGUGCAAGGAAGGAAGCAAGGGUGCAAGGAAGGAACCAAGGGUGCAAGGAAGGAAGCAGGGGUGCAAUGAAGGAAGCAA